AUAUCACAUUGAAACACUGGUUCCUGUAUGAUCACUGAAGAUAAGCAAUGUUGAGCCUGGCCAGUACCUAGAUGGGUGACUACUUGGGAACACCAAGUGCUGUAAG